rnacentral:rRNA from 1 species
UACGUAGGGGGCGAGCGUUAUCCGGAUUUACUGGGUGUAAAGGGAGCGUAGACGGUUAAGCAAGUCUGAAGUGAAAGCCCGCGGCUCAACCGCGGAACGGCUUUGGAAACUGCGUGGCUGGAGUACUGGAGAGGUAAGCGGAAUUCCUGGUGUAGCGGUGAAAUGCGUAGAUAUUAGGAGGAACACCAGUGGCGAAGGCGGCUUACUGGACUGUAACUGACGCUGAGGUUCGAAAGCGUGGGGAGCAA